CCCAUUUUGUAAAGAAAAUCCAGAAAAAUGCAAAGACAGUGAACAAACUUGUUGGAAGAAGCUUCAGAAUGUUAUUAAUAAUGCACUAAAAAUAAGUGGUGGAAUUGGUUUGUUUUUCAGCUUUUCAGAGUUUAUAGGAGUAUGGUUGACUGUUCGAUAUCGCAAUCAGAAAGAUCCUCGUUCUAACCCACAUGCAUUUUUGUGAAACUAAUUAUUGUUUGCAAACCAAAGGUGAUUAGCAUCUGGAUAACUUACAGAUAUCGACAGCAAAAAGAUCCAAAAUUGGACCCUAGUCUUUUAUUCAUA